rnacentral:miRNA from 1 species
AGCUCCAGAAACAACUAGCGG